CUCGUAAGGCGGUUUGUCGCGUCUGCUGUGAAAACCCGAGGCUCAAUCUUCGGGCCUGCAGUGGGUACGGGCAGACUAGAGUGCGGUAGGGAGAUUGGAACUCCUGGUGUAGCGGUGGAAUGCGCAGAUAUCAGGAAGAACACCGAUGGCGAAGGCAGAUCUCUGGGCCCGUAACUGACGCUGAGGAGCGAAAGGGUGGGGAGCAAACAGGCUUAGAUACCCUGGUAGUCCACCCCGUAAACGUUGGGAACUAGUUGUGGGGUCCAUUCCACGGAUUCCGUGACGCAGCUAACGCAUUAAGUUCCCCGCCUGGGGAGUACGGCCGCAAGGCUAAAACUCAAAGGAAUUGACGGGGACCCGCACAAGCGGCGGAGCAUGCGGAUUAAUUCGAUGCAACGCGAAGAACCUUACCAAGGCUUGACAUAUAGAGGAAACGUCUGGAAACAGUCGCCCCGCAAGGUCUCUAUACGGGUGGUGCAUGGUUGUCGUCAGCUCGUGUCGUGAGAUGUUGGGUUAAGUCCCGCAACGAGCGCAACCCUCGUUCUAUGUUGCCAGCACGUAAUGGUGGGAACUCAUGGGAUACUGCCGGGGUCAACUCGGAGGAAGGUGGGGAUGACGUCAAAUCAUCAUGCCCCUUAUGUCUUGGGCUUCACGCAUGCUACAAUGGCCGGUACAAAGGGCUGCAAUACCGUAAGGUGGAGCGAAUCCCAAAAAGCCGGUCCCAGUUCGGAUUGAGGUCUGCAACUCGACCUCAUGAAGUCGGAGUCGCUAGUAAUCGCAGAUCAGCAACGCUGCGGUGAAUACGUUCCCGGGUCUUGCACACACCGCCCGUC
rnacentral:rRNA from 1 species